rnacentral:rRNA from 1 species
AUUGAACGCUGGCGGCAGGCCUAACACAUGCAAGUCGAGCGGAGGAAGGGAGCUUGCUCCUGGAUUCAGCGGCGGACGGGUGGGUAAUGCCUAGGAAUCUGCCUGGUAGUGGGGGAUAAGGUCCGGAAACGGGCGCUAAUACCGCAUACGUCCUGAGGGAGAAAGUGGGGGAUCUUCGGACCUCACGCUAUCAGAUGAGCCUAGGUCGGAUUAGCUAGUUGGUGGGGUAAAGGCCUACCAAGGCGACGAUCCGUAACUGGUCUGAGAGGAGGAUCAGUCACACUGGAACUGAGACACGGUCCAGACUCCUACAGGAGGCAGCAGUGGGGAAUAUUGGACAAUGGGCGAAAGCCUGCUCCAGCCAUGCCGCGUGUGUGAAGAAGGUCUUCGGAUUGUAAAGCACUUUAAGUUGGGAGGAAGGGCAGUAAGUUAAUACCUUGCUGUUUUGACGUUACCAACAGAAUAAGCACCGGCUAACUUCGUG